UUAUCGGAAUGAGAACAAUUCAAAUCCUUUAACGAGGAUCUAGCGGAGGGCGAGUCUGGUGCCAGCAGCCGCGGUAAUUCCAGCUCCGCAGGUGUAUAUCUAUGCUGCUGCGGUUAAAAAGCUCGUAGUUGGAUCUGCGUGCUCGGAACUGGUUGGCUCACUGAGUUCAAACUGGUCUCCGGCGCUUUAUUGGCUGGUUUUCCCUUGAUGCUCUUAACCGGGUGUCUUGGGUGGCUAGCACGUUUACUUUGAAAAAAUUAGAGUGCUCAAUACAGGCGUAAAGCCUUGAAUAGUGGUGCAUGGAAUAAUAGAAUAGGACCUCGGCUCUAUUUUGUUGGUUUUCGGAACGCGAGGUAAUGAUUAAGAGGGACAGACGGGGGCAUUCGUAUUGCGACGUUAGAGGUGAAAUUCUUGGAUCGUCGCAAGACGGACGACUGCGAAAGCAUUUGCCAAGAAUGUUUUCAUUAAUCAAGAACGAAAGUUAGAGGUUCGAAGGCGAUCAGAUACCGCCCUAGUUCUAACCGUAAACGAUGCCAACUAGCGAUUCGCAGGCGUUAAACAACGACCUUGCGGGCAGCUUCCCGGAAACGAAAGUGUUCGGGUUCCGGGGGAAGUAUGGUUGCAAAGCUGAAACUUAAAGGAAUUGACGGAAGGGCACCACCAGGAGUGGAGCCUGCGGCUUAAUUUGACCCAACACGGGAAAACUCACCCGGCCCGGACACCGUAAGGAUUGACAGAUUGAGAGCUCUUUCUUGAUUCGGUGGGUGGUGGUGCAUGGCCGUUCUUAGUUGGUGGAGCGAUUUGUCUGGUUUAUUCCGAUAACGAACGAGACUCUGGCCUACUAAAUAGUGGGCGGAUUCUUUCUGUCCGCAACACUUCUUAGAGGGACAAGCGGUGUUCAGCCGCACGAGAUUGAGCAAUAACAGGUCUGUGAUGCCCUUAGAUGUCCGGGGCUGCACGCGCGCUACACUGAAGGAAUCAGCGUGCUUUCUGACCUUGCCCGAAAGGGCUGGGUAACCCGAUGAAAAUCCUUCGUGAUUGGGAUAGGGACUUGCAAUUAUUUCCCUUGAACGAGGAAUUCCCAGUAAGUGUGGGUCAUAAGCUCGCGUUGAUUACGUCCCUGCCCUUUGUACACACCGCCCGUCGCUGCCCGGAACUGAGCCGUUUCGAGAAGAACAGGGACCGUCGUUGAAGGGCCUUAACGGGCUUUUCUCUGAUAGAAACUGUU
rnacentral:rRNA from 1 species